AUACGUAGGGGGCGAGCGUUGUCCGGAAUGAUUGGGCGUAAAGGGCGCGUAGGCGGCGCGGUAAGUCUGGAGUGAAAGUCCUGGUUUCAAGGUGGGAAUUGCUUUGGAUACUGUCGGGCUUGAGUGCAGGAGAGGUAAGUGGAAUUCCCAGUGUAGCGGUGAAAUGCGUAGAGAUUGGGAGGAACACCAGUGGCGGAGGCGACUUACUGGACUGUAACUGACGCUGAGGCGCGAAAGUGUGGGGAGCAAACAGGAUUAGAUACCCUGGUAGUCCACACUGUAAACGAUGAAUGCUAGGUGUAGGGGGUAUCGACCCCUUCUGUGCCGCAGUCAACACAAUAAGCAUUCCGCCUGGGGAGUACGGCCGCAAGGUUGAAACUCAAAGGAAUUGACGGGG
rnacentral:rRNA from 1 species